rnacentral:rRNA from 1 species
CUACACAUGCAAGUCGAGCGAGACCUUCGGGUCUAGCGGCGGACGGGUGAGUAACGCGUGGGAAUAUGCCCUUUGGUACGGAAUAGCCUCGGGAAACUGAGAGUAAUACCGUAUGUGCCCUUCGGGGGAAAGAUUUAUCGCCAAAGGAUUAGCCCGCGUUGGAUUAGGUAGUUGGUGGGGUAAUGGCCUACCAAGCCUACGAUCCAUAGCUGGUUUGAGAGGAUGAUCAGCCACACUGGGACUGAGACACGGCCCAGACUCCUACGGGAGGCAGCAGUGGGGAAUCUUAGACAAUGGGGGCAACCCUGAUCUAGCCAUGCCGCGUGAGUGAUGAAGGCCUUAGGGUUGUAAAGCUCUUUCAGCUGGGAAGAUAAUGACGGUACCAGCAGAAGAAGCCCCGGCUAACUCCGUGCCAGCAGCCGCGGUAAUACGGAGGGGGCUAGCGUUGUUCGGAAUUACUGGGCGUAAAGCGCACGUAGGCGGACUGGAAAGUUGGAGGUGAAAUCCCAGGGCUCAACCUUGGAACUGCCUUCAAAACUAUCAGUCUGGAGUUCGAGAGAGGUGAGUGGAAUUCCGAGUGUAGAGGUGAAAUUCGUAGAUAUUCGGAGGAACACCAGUGGCGAAGGCGGCUCACUGGCUCGAUACUGACGCUGAGGUGCGAAAGUGUGGGGAGCAAACAGGAUUAGAUACCCUGGUAGUCCACACCGUA